rnacentral:rRNA from 1 species
AACGAACGCUGGCGGCGUGCUUUACACAUGCAAGUCGAACGGUGAAGGUGGAGCUUGCUCCGCCGGAUCAGUGGCGAACGGGUGAGUAACACGUGGGCAACCUGCCCCUAACUUUGGGAUAACUACUCGAAAGAGUAGCUAAUACCGGAUAUGAAGUCUGUAGGCAUCUAUGGAUUUGGAAAGUUUUUCGGUUAGGGAUGGGCCCGCGGCCUAUCAGCUUGUUGGUGAGGUAGUGGCUCACCAAGGCGACGACGGGUAGCCGGCCUGAAAGGGCGACCGGCCACACUGGGACUGAGACACGGCCCAGACUCCUACGGGAGGCAGCAGUGGGGAAUAUUGCGCAAUGGGCGAAAGCCUGACGCAGCAACGCCGCGUGCGGGAUGAAGGCCUUCGGGUUGUAAACCGCUUUCAGCAGGGAAGAAGCGAAAGUGACGGUACCUGCAGAAAAAGCACCGGCUAACUACGUGCCAGCCGCCGCGGUAA